ensembl:misc_RNA Metazoa_SRP Metazoan signal recognition particle RNA
GCUGGGCGUGGUGGCGCAUGCCUGUAAUCCCAGCUACUUGGGAGGCUGAGGCAGGAGAAUCACUUGAACCUGGGAGGCAGGGGUUGUAGUGACCCAAGAUUGUGCCACUGCACUCCAGCCUGGUGACAAAGUGAGACUCAGUCUCUA